rnacentral:rRNA from 1 species
CAAUAGCGUAUAUUAAAGUUGUUGCAGUUAAAAAGCUCGUAGUUGGAUUUCUGGGAGGGUGCCAAUGCCCGCCGUCGUGCGUGCGCAGCGGCGCCCUUCCAUCCUUCUGUUAACGCCUCUUGGCAUUCAUUUGCUGGUGGCGGGCUCAGAUAUUUUACCUUGAGAAAAUUAGAGUGUUUCAGGCAGGCUAGGCCGGAAUACAUUAGCAUGGAAUAAUGGAAUAGGACUACGGUCUCGUUGUUGGUUUGAGGGACUGCAGUAAUGAUUAAUAGGGAUAGUUGGGGGCAUUAGUAUUUAAUUGUCAGAGGUGGAAUUCUCGGAUUUGUUAAAGACUAACUUAUGCGAAAGCAUUUGCCAAGGAUGUUUNCAUUA